UGGGGAAUAUUGGACAAUGGGGGCAACCCUGAUCCAGCAAUGCCGCGUGUGUGAAGAAGGUCUUCGGAUUGUAAAGCACUUUCGACGGGGACGAUGAUGACGGUACCCGUAGAAGAAGCCCCGGCUAACUUCGUGCCAGCAGCCGCGGUAAUACGAAGGGGGCUAGCGUUGCUCGGAAUGACUGGGCGUAAAGGGCGUGUAGGCGGUUUACACAGUCAGAUGUGAAAUCCCCGGGCUUAACCUGGGAGCUGCAUUUGAUACGUGUAGACUAGAGUGUGAGAGAGGGUUGUGGAAUUCCCAGUGUAGAGGUGAAAUUCGUAGAUAUUGGGAAGAACACCGGUGGCGAAGGCGGCAACCUGGCUCAUGACUGACGCUGAGGCGCGAAAGCGUGGGGAGCAAACAGGAUUAGAUACCCUGGUAG
rnacentral:rRNA from 1 species